UCCUGGCUCAGACGAACGCUGGUAGCGUGGAUUAGGCAUGCAAGUCGAACGGGAUCCGGAAGGCAGCAAUGUCGGCCGGUGAGAGUGGCGGAAGGGCGAGGAACACGUGGGCAACCUGUCUUUGGAGGUGGGGAAAACCUCGGGAAACUGAGGCUAAUACCGAAUGUGGCGCGGAAGGGCAUCCUUCCUGCGCUAAAGGGGGCGAAAGCUCCCCCUCUUCGAGGGGCUCGCGCACCAUCAGCUAGUUGGCGGGUAACGGCCCACCAAGGCUCACGGUUAGCUGGUCUGAGAGGAUGGCCAGCCGCACUGGGACUGAGAUACUGCCCAGACUCCUACGGGAGGCUGCAGUCGAGGAUCAUUCGCAAUGGGCGAAAGCCUGACGAUGCGACGCUGCGUGGAGGAAUGAAGGCCUUCGGGUUGUAAACUCCUGUCAUGAGGGAAAAGGAGACCCUGCCCAAUACGCAGGGGAUUUGAUGGUACCUCAAGAGGAAGGGACGGCUAACUCUGUGCCAGCAGCGGC
rnacentral:rRNA from 1 species